GUUUUUUUUUUUUUUUUUUGCUCUCUUGCUCUCGCUGGCUCUUCUAGCGUGUGUGAUAACGUGUGUUGAAGCGAAUGGGAAAACUUGUAUUGAUCGGGAGUUGCAGAUUACAAUUUAUACUAUCCGGAGAGUCGCGAUGGGAAAGAAUGCGUCGGUUUUGAAGAAAGACCCGAGAGGCGUCUGUUGCGGAUGUAACCGCACGCCGUUUGGGUAAGUGGAGGUUUUCCCCUAAUUACAUGUGCUAAUUAAUCACAACAUAAAGCUUGUGGAUUUGCCCUAAAAAAAAUUCACGGGGCAUCUCGGCGGCCUUCUUUUCCGUGUCUCCCCCCGCUCAGCUCGUGCUCUGCUUUCUGUACGAGCUGGCCAUUCCCAAGAAUAAUAUGUUCCUUCUUCCAGUGAACAGAUAUACAGUAUCUACUUGUGCGUGUGUCGUUUUUCUUUUGAUUUCCCACCGUGGUUGGUAAAAGUUGGAACAUUACAACUUUGACCUUAUUUUUAAGGUAAUAAAUGUUAAAAGUUCGGGCGUACAAACGUUGACAUCAGUAUUUAGAGUGCGAUUUUAAAACAUCACAAAUAACUAUAUUGCCAUUAUAAAAUAUCACAAGUUUGCAUUAGAUUUUCCUGUCUAGUGAUUUAAGACCGCACCAUCAGUAAAUUCGCAGCCACCGUGAGAGCGAUACUGCAGGCGAUUUAAGGUCCGACACCAUAGUAAAAUCUAUUCCUACAUUGGUUAGGAAUACGAUGAAAUGACAAGAGUUUUAGGCCAUGACCCAAGGCCAACACCAGCACGACACAGCCACAAAAACAACACAAGGGUGCCAGACGAACGGAUUAAGAUCAAUAUCCAAAUGCCAGCACGGCACAUAAUCCCGAUAACACAAUCUAUAACUCCAGCAAGAUAAUAACCAAAACUCAAAGGAACAGGUCCGUUGUGCAGGGUGCCAGACUUUAACAAAAACGCAUUUCACUCGUCGUCGUCCUCGUCGUCAUCGGCGGCACCGGCAGAGUUGUUGAGGGCGUUGAGCCUUUCGACGAGGCUGGCCUUCCUCUGCUCAUAGGUCAGCUUCUUGGGGUUGUACCUGCAUCCAAAAG
rnacentral:lncRNA from 1 species